CGCCGGGCGGGCGAGGGGGCGUGGCCAGACCUCUCGGAGAGCCUUUCCGGCCGGGCCGCGCGCCGACGCCCCGUGUCGCGGGGGGAUGACGUAAGCCCGCCGUUGCCUGGCGAUGGGGUCCGAGCAGAGCGCCGAGGCCGAGGGCCGCCCUCACGACCCCGCCACAGCAUCCCCUUCGCCAGCCAAGCAGCGAGCUAAGAUGGAUGAUAUCGUGGUGGUGGCCCAAGGGACUCAGGCGUCACGGAACGUCAGCAGUGACCCGGAUGUCAUAAAACUGCAGGAAAUCCCCACUUUCCAACCUCUGUUGAAAGGUCUUCUUAGUGGGCAAAUGUCUCCGACCAACAUUAAGCUAGAGAAGCUGGAUUCUCAGCAAGUCCUCCAGCUGUGCCUCCGGUACCAGGACCACCUUCACCAGUGUGCAGAAGCCGUGGCCUUCGACCAGAACGCUUUAGUCAAGAGGAUCAAAGAGAUGGAUCUUUCCGUAGAGGCCCUGUACGCGUUAAUGCAAGAGCGCCAGAAAAGGUACGCCAAGUACGCUGAGCAGAUCCAGAAAGUCAACGAGAUGUCCGCCAUCCUCCGCCGCGUCCAGAUGGGCAUUGACCUCACCGUCCCGCUGAUGGAGAGGCUGAAUGGCCUGCUGCCGGAGAACGAGCAGCUGGAGCCUUUCUGCAUGAAACCGGACAACAGGGAGCUCAGGUUGUAGCCUCCGUUCCUUCGGCCGCCUCCUCCCAGGCUCGCCUGCAGGACCUCGCCUGAAGCUUCAGGCUCCGGUAUCUCUUGCUGUGUGGACGAGGGAUAAAGACGAACUGGCAAGAUUUGAAGGAAAUGCGUUAUAAGAGCUAUUUGGGAAAGGGUUAGGAAUCCAAAAGGGUCCCUAAUGUGAAAUUAAAAGUAUACAAAUAAUGAUUAAUGAAGAAAACCGUCAGUUAAAAACGACUGCGUUACCGAAGAUGCCUCAUGUCUCGUUUGGGUAACAGCUUCCCUUCCCAGUGUGAACAAAGAACUCUGUCAGAAAAUGUUGAUCCUUAACUGUCAAAAGGAUUUUCCAGACUUAUCUUUUGAAUGUCUGCCUGCUGAAGGCAACCUUUAUCUUGCUCAAGCCCCACCAGUCAGCCCCACACAAGCCCCAAGGCUGAGGAGUGGCUGAGAAGAGGUGGAACAACCCCGUACAUUCCAAGCCAUCAUGGUCACCCGAGAUGGGUCAACCCAUUCAGGUCCCCACCAUCCUCUGCUCCACGGAGGCUUUCACACCAAUGUUUUCUAGUAAGAGAAAGGGAGGAUGAAGUCAUGAUGGUCCUAAUCAAGGUAGUAGUAGUAGUAGUAGUAGUAGUAGUAGUAGUAGUAAUGUUGGAAGGGACCUUGGAGGUCAUCUAGUCCAACCCCCUGCUCAGGCAGGAAAGUGUUACCAGUCCUAAUCACACCUUUGUCACAGGCAGCAAGGAGAGGAUCCGUCCACUCUCCUUAGCCCAUUUUGGUCAGUACAUUCCUCAAGUAGUCCUCAAUUUACGACUGAACAUUUAGCGACUAUUCAAAGCUACGAGGCCCCCCCAAAGAUACUUACAACCUCGUUCCCAAGAUUCUGACGGCCAGCCCCACCCCUGAAUUUCUACAGCCGUUUGCAAUGUCUUGUGGGCAUGUGACCACAAUUUACAUUUUUGACAAAAAAAAAACUAUGUUUGCUUCUGGUUUUCAGCAAAAUUGCCCCCUAGCAAACAAUGGUUUCGCUUAAUGACCAUGGAUUCACAAUGACCUCCUCAAAUACAGGUUGUAAAAUCGGACUGGUCACAAGAUGGCCUGUUUUAUGAUCAUCGUGACUUACAAUCAUAAUGUGUUGUUGCCUUACUUUCCCCCCCCCCAAACCCAGUUAUGUGAGCGAUCGCUCCCUGUUACCUUUCUAAUGAUGAGAAAGCCAAUGGUGUAGCAACUAAUGAAGCGUGCAGCCCCUGGUCUUCUGGUGUUUGGGGGGCUUAGCUAGAGGAUUCAGCCCUUCUUUGCUUCCCUGAGGGAAAUAGCUCAAUCUCAACAAACUAAAUCAAAUGUCAUGUAAAAAGGAUAAAAGAUAACUGGUCAACAUUCUUUUAAAUACUCAGAAUUUCCAACAUUAGGCGGUAACACAGACAGUUUACAAAGCUGUUCAGCAGAUUAAAAGAAACUUACAAAAAAAUGCAGACCCAGAAACGGCUCAGUUUUUGCUUCCAAAGUCUGCAUAAAAAGGGACUGGCUAGAAGAUGUUUCAAAUAGUUUAAUGUUACAGAAUACAAGAAAAUUAUAGAGAAAGCUUGGCGUUCUUUGCGUGUAGCCCUACUGAUGGACUGAAGACUGAAGUUUAAAGACUCAUUUCUGUAACGUCAAUAUGAAGAGGCGCAGAGACAAUUAGAUUUGACUAGCAUAAAACAAAUAAAAAUAAAUUACAACGUUAUGCAA